AGAGUUUGAUCAUGGCUCAGAUUGAACGCUGGCGGCAUGCCUAACACAUGCAAGUCGAACGGAAACGAUGGGAGCUUGCUCCCAGGCGUCGAGUGGCGGACGGGUGAGUAAUGCUUAGGGAUCUGCCCAUGUAGUGGGGGACAACCUGGUGAAAACCAGGCUAAUACCGCAUAAGCCCUUCGGGGGAAAGCAGGGGAUCUUCGGACCUUGCGCUAUUGGAUGAGCCUAAGUCGGAUUAGCUUGUUGGUGGGGUAACGGCCUACCAAGGCGACGAUCCGUAGCUGGUCUGAGAGGAUGAUCAGCCACACUGGGACUGAGACACGGCCCAGACUCCUACGGGAGGCAGCAGUGGGGAAUAUUGGACAAUGGGGGCAACCCUGAUCCAGCAAUGCCGCGUGUGUGAAGAAGGCCUGCGGGUUGUAAAGCACUUUCAGUAGCGAGGAAAAGCUCAAGGUUAAUAACCUUGAGUCUUGACGUUAACUACAGAAGAAGCACCGGCUAACUCUGUGCCAGCAGCCGCGGUAAUACAGAGGGUGCGAGCGUUAAUCGGAAUUACUGGGCGUAAAGCGCGCGUAGGCGGUUUGUUAAGUCGGAUGUGAAAUCCCCGGGCUCAACCUGGGAACUGCAUUCGAAACUGGCAGGCUAGAGUAUGGUAGAGGGAAGUGGAAUUCCGGGUGUAGCGGUGAAAUGCGUAGAUAUCCGGGAGGAACAUCAGUGGCGAAGGCGGCUUCCUGGACCAAUACUGACGCUGAGUGCGAAAGCGUGGGGAGCAAACAGGAUUAGAUACCCUGUAGUCCACGCCGUUAAACGAUGAGACUAGACGUUGGUUCCAUUUUAGGG
rnacentral:rRNA from 1 species